CAGGAAGUUUCGGUACAAUUUUAUAAAUGCCGACAGAUAGGCCUACUUUGUUCGUUCGAUAUGCCUACAGCUUUUGAAACUUUGUUGUCAUCGACACGAUGUGUCUGACCUUCCAGAUAUAACACUGGACCUCAUCCAUAUGCCCCUGUGCCCAGAUGUGGGAGCCAUGGAUCAUCGUGAUCAUAUGACAGAAGAACAAGCAGAGAUCAUCACUGAAGAUACAGAGGAGAUGUGCCUGUCUCAGAUCCUUAUGCAUCAUGACACCCCAAUGUACGAGCCAGUGCCACCCUGGGCAAGGAGGCUUGCUGGUGUGAAGGAGAUGGUGGCUGUCCAGUGGACGCUCCUGGGGGAGGUCACAGCCAUGUGCAGGGUGCAGAAGGAGCUGCUGAAGUAGGAGAGAGAGAGAUUAGCCCUGGAGAAGGAGAAACUAGCCCUGGAGAAUGAGAUGUUUGCCAUGGAGAAGCGAAAAAUAAUAAUAUUGGGAUGUGGCAUCCUGUUUUGUAUGCAGAUGUUGUGCAAGAUACAUGCCGAGGUUAUGAUCUUGCAUGUUUUUUCUGGGCUGUAUAAAAUAACUCCCCAGAGCGGUCAAUGCAUCUGAAUCUGGAUUUUAGGACUCGGAUAGAUCUCUCUACUAGACACCUUGUUUUCAUCUGAGCAUGAUUAUAGUUCUCCUCUGCGUUGUUGUUAGUGUGUUAUGAGCCAUGUUUUUUGUCCAUAGCCACUAUCACCUAAAACCCCCAAAAUACAAAGUAUUAAAUUGAUAUUAUAAGAAGCAACACUAUUUUAAGUGUGCUGUGGACCAUAAAACAAUUACACAGGUAACAGGUAUCAGGUAAAGGAAAGAAAGGGUUAGUGAUUUCUUUACCUAAUAGCCAUCCAUCAGGAAUGUGCCCUUCCUCAAACUUGACUCCCAGGGCUGAAUUUGAUCAAAUGAAGGAGUCGUGUGCUCCCAGGCCAUUUGGCAACAACAUUUGUGAAGGCUAGUGUGGCAUCGCAGACUACUUGGACAUUGAUAGAGUGGAAGUUAUUUCGAUUAACAUACAUUUCCUCCUCUUCACGUGGACCCUAUCAGGAGAAAUGGUAAGACUACAUCAGAUACUUAUAAGGCCUACUGAAAUAAUCCAUUUUGGUGGGGUGCAAACUGUACUUAUGUAGACAUGUUUUGACAGAAGCUUGUCAUUGUCACUGACCUUUAUUCCCACAUGGGUCCCAUCCACUACACCAAGGACAUUGGGGAAGUUAGCCACCUCAAAAAACUUUUGUUUGGUGCUUAUUUGUUCAGCUGCAGUUGAUGGGAACUUGAUACAUCUUCACACAUGACGACACAGUGCAUCACACACACUGCACUAACCACCCGACUCACAGAGGACUGACUAACUCCCACUGUCCCUGCUAGCAAGGCUUGAAAGGAUCUCAAUGCUAGGAAUCUCAGGGCUAUCAUGAUUUGUAGGAUGAUUGGAAGAGGGCAUGAUUUCAUGGUCUUUCUUUUUAAGUUUUCAUUUAGAAGGUCAGCCAAGUACAUGAUAGUGUCAUGGUAGUCGAUAUUGCCUCAGUAGAACAUGGUCAGGGACAUGUAGAGGAUCCAUCCGAUCUCUGAGGGGCUUCUGUGGGUUCUCCCUCUCUCUAGCAGCUAUCCAAAGAACUUCCAUCCUUCAAAGUAUCAUAGUAAGCUUUUAAUCACUAAAUAUUCAUGUUUGAUUAUUACUGUUUUUGACUAUUGCCAUUAAAUGG